AUUGAACGCUGGCGGCAGGCUUAACACAUGCAAGUCGAGCGGGGUGAUGGUGCUUGCACUAUCACUUAGCGGCGGACGGGUGAGUAAUGCUUAGGAAUCUGCCUAUUAGUGGGGGACAACAUCUCGAAAGGGAUGCUAAUACCGCAUACGUCCUACGGGGGAAAGCAGGGGAUCACUUGUGACCUUGCGCUAAUAGAUGAGCCUAAGUCGGAUUAGCUAGUUGGUGGGGUAAAGGCCUACCAAGGCGACGAUCUGUAGCGGGUCUGAGAGGAGGAACCGCCACGCUGGGACUGAGACACGGCCCAGACUCCUACGGGAGGCAGCAGGGGGGAAUAUUGGACAAUGGGGGGAACCCUGAUCCAGCCAUGCCGCGUGUGUGAAGAAGGCCUUAUGGUUGUAAAGCACUUUAAGCGAGGAGGAGGCUCUUUUGGUUAAUACCCAGAAUGAGUGGACGUUACUCGCAGAAUAAGCACCGGCUAACUCUGUGCCAGCCGCCGCCGUAAUAC
rnacentral:rRNA from 1 species